GAUGAAGAACGUAGCGAAAUGCGAUAAGUAAUGUGAAUUGCAGAAUUCAGUGAAUCAUCGAAUCUUUGAACGCACAUUGCGCCCGCCAGUAUUCUGGCGGGCAUGCCUGUUCGAGCGUCAUUACAACCCUCAGGCCCCCGGGCCUGGCGUUGGGGAUCGGCGGAGCCCCCCGUGGGCACACGCCGUCCCCCAAAUACAGUGGCGGUCCCGCCGCAGCUUCCAUCGCGUAGUAGCUAACACCUCGCGACUGGAGAGCGGCGCGGCCACGCCGUAAAACACCCAACUCUUCUGAAGUUGACCUCGAAUCAGGUAGGAAUACCCGCUGAACUUAAGCAUAUCAAUAAGCGGGGGA
rnacentral:misc_RNA from 1 species